rnacentral:rRNA from 1 species
GACGAACGCUGGCGGCGUGCUUAACAUAUGCAAGUCGAACGGAAAGGCCCUGCUUUUGUGGGGUGCUCGAGUGGCGAACGGGUGAGUAACACGUGAGUAACCUGCCCUUGACUUUGGGAUAACUUCAGGAAACUGGGGCUAAUACCGGAUAGGAGCUCCUGCUGCAUGGUGGGGGUUGGAAAGUUUCGGCGGUUGGGGAUGGACUCGCGGCUUAUCAGCUUGUUGGUGGGGUAGUGGCUUACCAAGGCUUUGACGGGUAGCCGGCCUGAGAGGGUGACCGGCGACAUUGGGACUGAGAUACGGCACAGACUGGUACGGGAGGCAGCAGUGGGGAAUAUUGCACAAUGGGCGGAAGCCUGAUGCAGAAACGCCGCGUGCGGGAUGACGGCCUUCGGGGUGUAAACCGCUUUCGCCUGUGACGAAGCGUGAGUGACGGUAAUGGGUAAAGAAGCACCGGCUAACUACGUG